ACUUAUUCUUUUACUUUUCAGUCGAUUUGACUGCGGCCAUGCUGGAGCUCCGACUUUAGUCCAACAAAUCGACCCCAGAACUCAUUCUUUGUAAGCCUAGAACCUAUGCUGUCGGUGUCUGUUGCCGAACUGCUUGAUUACUAGGAUGUAAACACUCCAGUAUCGGUUG